rnacentral:rRNA from 2 species
AAAUUGAAGAGUUUGAUCAUGGCUCAGAUUGAACGCUGGCGGCAGGCCUAACACAUGCAAGUCGAACGGUAACAGGAAACAGCUUGCUGUUUCGCUGACGAGUGGCGGACGGGUGAGUAAUGUCUGGGAAACUGCCUGAUGGAGGGGGAUAACUACUGGAAACGGUAGCUAAUACCGCAUAACGUCGCAAGACCAAAGAGGGGGACCUUCGGGCCUCUUGCCAUCGGAUGUGCCCAGAUGGGAUUAGCUAGUAGGUGGGGUAACGGCUCACCUAGGCGACGAUCCCUAGCUGGUCUGAGAGGAUGACCAGCCACACUGGAACUGAGACACGGUCCAGACU